rnacentral:rRNA from 1 species
AACGAACGCUGGCGGCAUGCCUAACACAUGCAAGUCGAACGAAGGCUUCGGCCUUAGUGGCGCACGGGUGCGUAACGCGUGGGAAUCUGCCUUUUGCUUCGGAAUAACAGUUAGAAAUGACUGCUAAUACCGGAUGAUGUCUUCGGACCAAAGAUUUAUCGGCAAGAGAUGAGCCCGCGUAGGAUUAGGUAGUUGGUAGGGUAAAGGCCUACCAAGCCGACGAUCCUUAGCUGGUCUGAGAGGAUGAUCAGCCACACUGGGACUGAGACACGGCCCAGACUCCUACGGGAGGCAGCAGUGGGGAAUAUUGGACAAUGGGGGCAACCCUGAUCCAGCAAUGCCGCGUGAGUGAUGAAGGCCUUAGGGUUGUAAAGCUCUUUUACCAGGGAUGAUAAUGACAGUACCUGGAGAAUAAGCUCCGGCUAACUCCGUGCCAGCCGCCGCCGUAA